rnacentral:rRNA from 1 species
GGCUUGUUGAUAAUAAUUUUAAGUCUGGCCUGCCCAAUGAUAAAUUUAAUGGCCGCGGUACAUUGACCGUGCAAAGGUAGCAUAAUCAUUAGUUUUUUAAUUGAAAGCUUGUAUGAAAGGUUCGAUGAGAAAAUUUCUGUCUCUAUAGGAAUUAAUUAGAAUUUUAUUUUUAAGUGAAAAAGCUUAAAUUUUUAUAGAAGACGAGAAGACCCUAUAGAGUUUUAUAUUAAUAUUAAAUAUUAAAUUUAAAGAAUUGUGAUUGAUUUUUAGUAUUAAUAUUUUAUUGGGGUGAUUGGAAAAUUAAAUAAACUUUUCUUUUAAAAGACCAUUGAUUUGUGAAUGUAUGAUCCUAUAGUUUAGAUUAAAAGAUUAAAUUACCUUAGGGAUAACAGCGUAAUCUUUUUUAGAGUUCUUAUCGAAAGAAAGGAUUGCGACCUCGAUGUUGGAUUAAAAUUAAUUAUUGGUGUAGAAGCUAAUGGAUUAAGUCUGUUCGACUUUUAAAAUUUUACAUGAUCUGAGUUUAAACCGGUGUGAG